CAGGAAGUGGAAGAGUACGACUUUAAAAAAUAAGAGCAUUGUCAUAUCGCCUUCUUUAAUGUACGUUUGAGAAUAAAGCAUUUUAUGGUGGAAAAUGUGUCGUUGACUUGCCAGCGCUUGAACAUUACCUUCAGUACUAAUCAGUCCCGCUGGGAAUUAUCGUGACACGCGUAAGUUGUGCUUUAUUUUGAAGGUGAAAACCAGAAGCCGUGUUCUCCUUCAUUCGCGCUGUCGCCGACUCAAUCACACACUGCUCACUUCGAGUCGACUGCCCCUCGAUCUACUGACAUAGCUUCGAUUAAAAAUACAGUUCGAUUCCUGCCAUAACUUCCUGUUGGUCGGCUGGAAAAACGUCAGAGCUCCUGUAGAAACAACAUGGUGGUGCAAGAUGGCAGAUUCCCUGUAAGAAGACCCUCUCCCCUUGUUUUUUUAUAAAGGGCUCAUUGCAAGGUAGGAUUAUUCCUUUGGACUGACCAUAUAUUUAUGAAAAGUGCAGUAUGGCAGACCUGACUUCUCAUGGUACAGUGUCUUGCAAAGAGAACCUGGUUCUAUGUAAACAGAUAUUUGUUUCCUUGCUACUGCUACUCUUCGAGUUAAGACUGUUGAAUUCAGUUUAUUAAUUAUUUUGUGUAUAAUAUUGCGUGCACAUUUCAGAAAGCUGAGUGAAUGGCUGCUUGACAAAUACUUGACUGUUGCCCGUUAUAGAAGAUCGCCAAAGAUUAUCCAAAAUCUACAUGCACCAUUGUAUUGAAAAUGUGACAAGGUCAUGAAAAUAAUAAGAUGCCCCUGAGAGGGCAGUAAAUCACAAGAUCAAUGUAAUAUCGGAUCGAUAACGAUAAUAAUGUAAGGAGAGAUAUCUCUUCCACUGCAGGAUCGUCCUUUUUGACGUCUAUUUUUAGCUUCAGCUGGACGACCACUGGUUGAUCUGAAGGUAUAUCAGGAUUUGAUCAAAUCUGGUAACAAUAUUUUGUCCAUUGUUUGCUUUUUUAACAUUUAGAAAUAAAUAUUUUUCAAUAAAAUUUGAGAACUGUAACCAAAAUAUUCAAUGUAUUUCAUGGCACUUUGAAGAAUAACAUUAUAUAGAUCUCUGCCAGAUGAUAUUUUUGUAUUGAAAUUUCUUGUUACGCAUCGGGCAACAUAUUUAUGUCAUAGCGAUGUAUCUGUGAUAAGCUAAUAUCUGCCAAUAUGGCAGACUGCUCUUACACAGGCAACAUAUCGGAGCCUUUUCUCUUGAAGUAGGGUGAUGUUGAUGAAGGUGCUAGGAGCUGAUCCGUGUACAGCAACACAGUAAAUCAAUGACCUCAAUGAUCAGUGGAGCUGAGGGGAACUGCAGAAUCAUGCGAUCAUUUUCUUUCAGUUUGUCACUGCGUGUGAUCAAUUCUUUUUACAAAACAUGUUGAUUGUGCAGCUUCAAAUACUUGAUAAAAUUUAACAAAG